rnacentral:lncRNA from 1 species
GGUUCUGCUUAUGUAAUGAGAUCUCAACCAAUGAACGGACCAAGUACAGACAAAUAUAAGGUAAACAUACAUUAAUAGAGUGAGAAAUGUAAAUGAGUGAAAAUUAACUGUUGCUUAUCUUAUGUCUACUAUUUAGUUUAAAAUUGAGAAUGGAAAUUUGGAAUGUGUAUUUAUUUGGCGACAAAAUGAAUAUAAACAUGCACCUUAAUAAUCUGUCAUCAAGAGCUAAUGCACGACAAGUUUAAGGGGGACUAUCGAACAAGCACAACCCAAUGGACAGGGGUCAGUCUUUCCCAAGACCUGAGCAAUGGCAGGCAAAACUAUAAAGCAAGCAGCAAGUUGUAACAGUUUUAUACAAUAACAGAUCUAAAUAAUGAUAAUGUCAAAAUAAUAAACAAAUAAUUAAAAUCCAAAUGUUCUAAAUUAUAAAGUCACUAAUCCAAAAUCAAAGUAAAGUUGAAGGUUCUAAAUGUCCAAAGUUAAGGUUUAAUUAAAAUAAUUCCACUAAACAUUUCAUUAUCACUUGAAGUCCAAAGAUUGGUUGAGUUGAGUUGAUCUAGUUUGAGUUUUUUUUUCCUCAUAUUCAUGGUUUAGUGAUCAGCGUUUAGUGUUUGUGUUUUUCAUAGAUACCAUAAAUAACAGGUUCAACUGUAUUUGGUGAAUAGAAUGAUUUUGAAAGGUGUACAUGGCAGAGUUCGACCGUGACCUCAACUCCCUACCAAAUACUUCUAUAUUCUAAAACAUUAUCACCAUGUGUUUAAUUUCCAUCACAUUUUUUAUCGGGAACUACAAACAACAACGUUCUGAUUGUUUUUAUCAGGUUAAUUGUGAUCAUGUAAUCUGUUAUCAUGUUGUAAAACUAGUCUUUUGUUUUUUAUAACCAGAUUGAGGCUGCACAAACAGGUGAUGUCUUAGCUGGUACACCUGAUGAAAUGAACCAGUGGGACAGACGAGGGAAUCCAUCAUUGUCCAUGUGGAGAAGUUGAUGACAUUAUGUUACAAGUCAGCCAUCCGUCCCAUUACCAAGCACAAUACGUUUAUAAAACAAUGUAAAAUGUGAUAUGGUAAUAUUGAAGCAUAUGUUUAUAAAACAAUGUAAAUUGUGAUAUGGUAAUAUUGAAGCAUACAUUCCUGUCAUCAUUUACAUACACAUAAAAUACAUUUUAUAUAUUUUUAUGUAAAUAAAAAAAUGUACUAAGAUUUAUUUAUACAGUUGUUUAUCAUAAUAUUUAUAUUUGUUUCUGUAUGAAGGUGACACAUCAUGGUUUUUUCAUGUGUUGUUUAUUGUGUUCAAACACUGGUGUGAUUAAACAAUUACCAGUGUUAGUUUUAAUCAUCUUAAUUAUAGAUAGAUGGUUGAUUUUGUACAAGCUGUUCAAUUUGCAGUGCACUUUGUAGACAAGACAAGACAAUAAUUUAUUUUGUAUGUAAAUAUAUCAAAUAGGAAUUAUUUCACAGUAUUCAUCACAAAUACAGAUUUUUUUUGGCAAGAAAAUCUAAAUUGCCAAUGGCUGUGUUCCAGACCAUAUGAGUAUUUGGACCGUACGCGUAUGGUCUGGACCGUAUGCGUACUUUUUCAAAAUAUGCAUACGGUCGGACCGUACGCGUACGGUCUGACUGAUAUUAAGAAGUUGGUCAAGCUUAUUAGAUACAAAUGUAUAUAACAGAUCAACAUGACUUAUAUCUCCAAUUAAUAUAAAAAGUU